AGCAGCCGCGGUAAUUCCAGCUCCAAUAGCGUAUAUUAAAGUUGUUGCAGUUAAAAAGCUCGUAGUUGAAUUUUGGGUCUGGCCGGGCGGUCCGCCCUCUGGGUGAGCACUGUUCCGACGCCGGGCCUAUCCUUCUGGUGAGUCGGCAUGUCCUUUGUUGGGUGUGUCGGGGAACCAGGACCAUUACCUUGAAAAAUUAGAGUGUUCAAAGCAGGCGUAUGCUCGGAUACAUUAGCAUGGAAUAAUGAAAUAGGACGCGUGGUGCUAUUUUGUUGGUUUCUAGAACCGCCGUAAUGAUUAAUAGGGAUAGUUGGGGGCAUUAGUAUUCAAUUGUCAGAGGUGAAAUUCUUGGAUUUAUUGAAGACUAACUUCUGCGAAAGCAUUUGCCAAGGAUGUUUUCAUUAAUCAAGAACGAAAGUUAGGGGAUCGAAGACGAUCAGAUACCGUCGUAGUCCUAACCAUAAACUAUGCCGACUAGGAAUCGGGCGAUGUUAUUCUCAUGACUCGCCCGGCGCCUU
rnacentral:rRNA from 1 species